rnacentral:rRNA from 1 species
CCUGACCCAGCCACGCGCGUGAGUGAUGAAGGCCGUCGGGUUGUAAAGCUCUGUGGGGAGGGACGAAAAAGGUCCGGAGGAAAUGCCGGGCCAUUGACGGUACCUCCUUAGCAAGCACCGGCUAACUCUGUGCCAGCAGCCGCGGUAAGACAGAGGGUGCGAACGUUGCUCGGAAUUACUGGGCGUAAAGCGCGCGUAGGCGGGUCGGUAAGUCGGAUGUGAAAUCCCUGGGCUCAACCCAGGAAUUGCAUUCGAAACUGCCGGUCUCGAGUGGUGGAGAGGGAUGGCGGAAUUCCGGGUGUAGAGGUGAAAUUCGUAGAUAUCCGGAGGAACACCGGUGGCGAAGGCGGCCUCCUGGACACCUACUGACGCUGAGGCGCGAAAGCGUGGGGAGCAAACAGGAUUAGAUACCCUGGUAGUCCACGCUGUAAACGAUGGGUGCUAGGUGUCGCGGGUAUUGACCCCUGCGGUGCCGUAGCUAACGCGUUAAGCACCCCGCCUGGGGAGUACGGCCGCAAGGCUA